GUGCACAGCCAUAUCGCCCGGCAGCCAAAGACCAGUUACUCACUGAAGCCAAACAGGGCUGAGCCUUGUCAGUACCUGGCAGGGAGACCACAUCGGAAAACUAGGCUGCUAAACCUA
ensembl:rRNA 5S_rRNA 5S ribosomal RNA